rnacentral:rRNA from 1 species
UCAUUUAAAGAAAGCGUAAUAGCUCACUGGUCGAGUCGGCCUGCGCGGAAGAUGUAACGGGGCUAAACCAUGCACCGAAGCUGCGGCAGCGACACUAUGUGUUGUUGGGUAGGGGAGCGUUCUGUAAGCCUGUGAAGGUGGCCUGUGAGGGUUGCUGGAGGUAUCAGAAGUGCGAAUGCUGACAUAAGUAACGAUAAAGCGGGUGAAAAGCCCGCUCGCCGGAAGACCAAGGGUUCCUGUCCAACGUUAAUCGGGGCAGGGUGAGUCGACCCCUAAGGCGAGGCCGAAAGGCGUAGUCGAUGGGAAACAGGUUAAUAUUCCUGUACUUGGUGUUACUGCGAAGGGGGGACGGAGAAGGCUAUGUUGGCCGGGCGACGGUUGUCCCGGUUUAAGCGUGUAGGCUGGUUUUCCAGGCAAAUCCGGAAAACCAAGGCUGAGGCGUGAUGACGAGGCACUACGGUGCUGAAGCGACAAAUGCCCUGCUUCCAGGAAAAGCCUCUAAGCAUCAGGUAACAUCAAAUCGUACCCCAAACCGACACAGGUGGUCAGGUAGAGAAUACCAAGGCGCUUGAGAGAACUCGGGUGAAGGAACUAGGCAAAAUGGUGCCGUAACUUCGGGAGAAGGCACGCUGAUAUGUAGGUGAAGCGACUUGCUCGUGGAGCUGAAAUCAGUCGAAGAUACCAGCUGGCUGCAACUGUUUAUUAAAAACACAGCACUGUGCAAACACGAAAGUGGACGUAUACGGUGUGACGCCUGCCCGGUGCCGGAAGGUUAAUUGAUGGGGUUAGCGGUAACGCGAAGCUCUUGAUCGAAGCCCCGGUAAACGGCG